GAUGGACGCUGGCGGCGUGCCUAAUACAUGCAAGUCGAGCGAACAGACGAGGAGCUUGCUCCUCUGACGUUAGCGGCGGACGGGUGAGUAACACGUGGAUAACCUACCUAUAAGACUGGGAUAACUUCGGGAAACCGGAGCUAAUGCCGGAUAAUAUAUUGAACCGCAUGGUUCAAUAGUGAAAGACGGUUUUGCUGUCACUUAUAGAUGGAUCCGCGCCGCAUUAGCUAGUUGGUAAGGUAACGGCUUACCAAGGCAACGAUGCGUAGCCGACCUGAGAGGGUGAUCGGCCACACUGGAACUGAGACACGGUCCAGACUCCUACGGGAGGCAGCAGUAGGGAAUCUUCCGCAAUGGGCGAAAGCUUGACGGAGCAACGCCGCGUGAGUGAUGAAGGUCUUCGGAUCGUAAAACUCUGUUAUUAGGGAAGAACAAAUGUGUAAGUAACUAUGCACGUCUUGACGGUACCUAAUCAGAAAGCCACGGCUAACUACGUG
rnacentral:rRNA from 1 species